rnacentral:lncRNA from 1 species
CUCAGCAGUCCUUCCUUCUCUGCAGGAAAUAUGUUCCAAGUCCCCCGUGUGUGCGUGGAAUGGAGGACAGCACCAAAACCAAUUGAUACUAAGAUUUUUUUCUCUCACUCAUAAAACAAGACUGGGCAGAGGUGGUGAGCGGCAGACCCUGGUCCCAGCCCAGAUUCUCUGGGACAUCAAGGUUCGGCAAGUGGACGGUGGUGCAGAUACACAGCAGUACCUAGGGAAAUUCAG